rnacentral:rRNA from 1 species
CUACGGGUGGCUCCAGUGGGGAAUAUUGGACAAUGGGGGAAACCCUGAUCCAGCAAUGCCGCGUGUGUGAAGAAGGCCUGCGGGUUGUAAAGCACUUUCGGUUGGGAGGACUGCUUCUAGCACUAAUAUUGUUGGAAGUUGACGUUACCUUCAGAAGAAGCACCGGCUAACUCCGUGCCAGCAGCCGCGGUAAUACGGAGGGUGCAAGCGUGAGUCGGAAUUACUGGGCGUAAAGCGCGCGUAGGCGGCUAGAUCAGUCGGGUGUGAAAGCCCCGGGCUUAACCUGGGAACUGCAUCCGAUACUGUCUAGCUUGAGUACAGGAGAGGAGAGUGGAAUUCCACAUGUAGCGGUGAAAUGCGUAGAUAUGUGGAGGAACACCAAUGGCGAAGGCAGCUCUCUGGCCUGAUACUGACGCUGAGGUGCGAAAGCGUGGGGAGCAAACAGGAUUAGAUACCCUCGUAGUC